GAUGAAGAACGCAGCGAAAUGCGAUAAGUAAUGUGAAUUGCAGAAUUCAGUGAAUCAUCGAAUCUUUGAACGCGCAUUGCGUCCGCCAGCACUCUGGCAGGCAUGCCUGUUCGAGCGUCAUUUCAACCAUCAAGCCCCCAGGGGCUUGUGCUGGGGCCCUGCGGCUGCCCGCAGGCCCUGAAAACCAGUGGCGGGCUCGCUAGUCACACCGAGCGCAGUAGCACAUCUCGCUCAGGGCGUGCGGCGGGCUCCUGCCGUGAAACCCCCCACUGUAACCCCAAAGGUUGACCUCGGAUCAGGUAGGAAUACCCGCUGAACUUAAGCAUAUCAAUAAGCGGAGGA
rnacentral:misc_RNA from 1 species